UGGGGAAUAUUGGGCAAUGGGGGAAACCCUGACCCAGCAACGCCGCGUGACGGAAGAAGGCCUUCGGGUUGUAAACUUCUUUUAGUCGGGACGAAUACGUGACGGUCCCUACAGAAAAAGCAACGGCUAACUACGUGCCAGCAGCCGCGGUAAUACGUAGGUUGCAAGCGUUGUCCGGAUUGACUGGGUGUAAAGGGCGUGUAGGCGGAGAUGCAAGUCAGAAGUGAAAUCCCGGGGCUCAACCCCGGAACUGCUUUUGAAACUGUAUCCCUUGAGUAUCGGAGAGGCAAGCGGAAUUCCUAGUGUAGCGGUGAAAUGCGUAGAUAUUAGGAGGAACACCAGUGGCGAAGGCGGCUUGCUGGACGACAACUGACGCUGAGGCGCGAAAGCGUGGGGAGCAAACAGG
rnacentral:rRNA from 2 species